GGACCCGCACAAGCAGUGGAGCAUGUGGUUUAAUUCGAAGAUACGCGCAGAACCUUACCAACACUUGACAUGUUCGUCGCGAGACUAAGAGAUUAGUCUUUUCAGUUUGGCUGGACGAAACACAGGUGCUGCAUGGCUGUCGUCAGCUCGUGUCGUGAGAUGUUGGGUUAAGUCCCGCAACGAGCGCAACCCCCUACUUUUAGUUGCCACCAUUUAGUUGGGCACUUUAAAAGAACUGCCAGUGAUAAGCUGGAGGAAGGUGGGGAUGACGUCAAGUCCUCAUGGCCCUUAUGUGUUGGGCUACACACGUGCUACAAUGGCACUCACAAUGGGAUGCAAAGAGGCGACUCUUAGCCAAUCCCUAAAAUGUGCCUCAGUUCGGAUUGUACUCUGUAACUCGAGUGCAUGAAGCUGGAAUUGCUAGUAAUCG
rnacentral:rRNA from 1 species